rnacentral:tRNA from 1 species
AGGGAAGUAACACAGUUUGGUAGCGCAUUUUGUUUUGGGUACAAAAUAUCAAAGGUUAAAAUCAUGUCAUCCCUA